UACGGAGGGUGCAAGCAUUAAUCGGAUUUAUUGGGCGUAAAGGGCGCGUAGGCGGGGAUAUUAGUCAGAUGUGAAAGCCCGGGGCUCAACUCCGGAAUUGCCUUUAAGACUGCAUCGCUAGAAUUGUGGAGAGGUAAGUGGAAUUCCGAGUGUAGAGGUGAAAUUCGUAGAUAUUCGGAAGAACACCAGUGGCGAAGGCGACUUACUGGACACAUAUUGACGCUGAGGUGCGAAAGCGUGGGGAGCAAACAGG
rnacentral:rRNA from 1 species